GACGAACGCUGGCGGCGUGCCUAAUACAUGCAAGUCGAACGCAGUGGGGACGGGUGAGUAACCCGUGGGUAACCUCCCAUCAGAGGGGAUAACACUUGGAAACAGGUGCUAAACCGAUACUGAUGGAUGGACCCGCGGUGCAUUAGCUAGUUGGUGGGGUAACGGCUCACCAAGGCCACGAUGCAUAGCCGAACUGAGAGGGAGAUCGGCAAAACGGGGACUGAGACAAGGGCCAGACUCCUACGGGAGGCAGCAGGUGGGAAGGUGGAGCAAUGGACGAAAGUCUGACCGAGGAACGCCGCGUGAGGGAAGAAGGUUUUCGGAUCGUAUAACUCUGUUGUUAGGGAAGCGGUAGCUAACCAGAAAGCCACGGCUAACGACGUGCCAGCAGCCGCGGUAAUUC
rnacentral:rRNA from 1 species